rnacentral:rRNA from 1 species
GCCAUCAGGUUAAGCUGGGCACUCUAAAGAGACUGCCGUCGAUAAGGCGGAGGAAGGUGGGGACGACGUCAAGUCAUCAUGGCCCUUAUGUCUAGGGCUACACACGUGCUACAAUGGGUUAUACAGAGGGCAGCUAGCUCGCGAGAGUCUGCGAAUCCCUUAAAGUAAUCCUCAGUUCGGAUUGUAGUCUGCAACUCGACUACAUGAAGUUGGAAUCGCUAGUAAUCGCAGGUCAGCAAAACUGCGGUGAAUACGUUCCCGGGCCUU